rnacentral:tRNA from 3 species
UCUAAUAUGGCAGAUUAGUGCAAUGAAUUUAAGAUUCAUAUAUAAAAUAUUUUUUUUAUUGGAA